rnacentral:rRNA from 1 species
AUUGAACGCUGGCGGCAUGCUUUACACAUGCAAGUCGAACGGUAACAGGUUAAGCUGACGAGUGGCGAACGGGUGAGUAAUGCAUCGGAACGUGCCCGAUCGUGGGGGAUAACGCAGCGAAAGCUGCGCUAAUACCGCAUACGAUCUGAGGAUGAAAGCGGGGGACCGUAAGGCCUCGCGCGAUCGGAGCGGCCGAUGUCAGAUUAGGUAGUUGGUGGGGUAAAGGCCCACCAAGCCGACGAUCUGUAGCUGGUCUGAGAGGACGACCAGCCACACUGGGACUGAGACACGGCCCAGACUCCUACGGGAGGCAGCAGUGGGGAAUUUUGGACAAUGGGCGAAAGCCUGAUCCAGCAAUGCCGCGUGCAGGAAGAAGGCCUUCGGGUUGUAAACCGCUUUUGUACGGAGCGAAAAGGUCCUUUCUAAUACAAGGGGCUCAUGACGGUACCGUAAGAAUAAGCACCGGCUAACUACGUGCCAGCAGCCGCCGUAAAAC